GGCCAAGUUUUUAAGGGCGCACGGUGGAUGCCUUGGCACCAGGAACCGAUGAAGGACGUGGGAGGCCACGAUAGGCCCCGGGGAGUCGUCAACCAGGCUUUGAUCCGGGGGUGUCCGAAUGGGGAAACCCGGCAGUCGUCAUGGGCUGUCACCCGCUGCUGAACUCAUAGGCAGUGUGGAGGGAACGCGGGGAAGUGAAACAUCUCAGUACCCGCAGGAAGAGAAAACAACCGUGAUUCCGGGAGUAGUGGCGAGCGAAACCGGAUGAGGCCAAACCGUAUACGUGUGAGACCCGGCAGGGGUUGCGUGUGCGGGGUUGUGGGAUCUCUCUUCUGUUGUCUGCCGGCAACAGGACGAGUCAGAAACCGUUGAUGUAGGCGAAGGACAUGCGAAAGGUCCGGCGUAGAGGGUAAGACCCCCGUAGUCGAAACAUUAGCGGCUCGUUUGAGAGACACCCAAGUAGCACGGGGCCCGAGAAAUCCCGUGUGAAUCUGGCGGGACCACCCGCUAAGCCUAAAUAUUCCCUGGUGACCGAUAGCGGAUAGUACCGUGAGGGAAUGGUGAAAAGUACCGCGGGAGCGGAGUGAAAUAGUACCUGAAACCGUGUGCCUACAAGCCGUGGGAGCGUCGCGCAAGGACUUGUCCUUGCGUCGUGACUGCGUGCCUUUUGAAGAAUGAGCCUGCGAGUUUGCGGUGUGUUGCGAGGUUAACCCGGGUGGGGAAGCCGUAGCGAAAGCGAGUCCGAAUAGGGCGCUGUAGUAGCACGCUCAAGACCCGAAGCGGAGUGAUCUAGCCAUGGGCAGGUUGAAGCGGAGGUAAGACUUCGUGGAGGACCGAACCCACCAGGGUUGAAAACCUGGGGGAUGACCUGUGGUUAGGGGUGAAAGGCCAAUCAAACUCCGUGAUAGCUGGUUCUCCCCGAAAUGCAUUUAGGUGCAGCGUCGUGUGUUUCUUGCCGGAGGUAGAGCACUGGAUAGGCGAUGGGCCCUACCGGGUUACUGACCUUAGCCAAACUCCGAAUGCCGGUAAGUGAGAGCGCGGCAGUGAGACUGUGGGGGAUAAGCUCCAUGGUCGAGAGGGAAACAGCCCAGAGCAUCGACUAAGGCCCCUAAGCGUACGCUAAGUGGGAAAGGAUGUGGAGUCGCACAGACAACCAGGAGGUUGGCUUAGAAGCAGCCACCCUUGAAAGAGUGCGUAAUAGCUCACUGGUCUAGUGAUUCCGCGCCGACAAUGUAGCGGGGCUCAAGCGUACCGCCGAAGUCGUGUCAUU
rnacentral:rRNA from 1 species